rnacentral:lncRNA from 1 species
AGCGUCUAAAGUUUUCAAACCACCUGAGGAUGCCAUUAACAGUCCCUCUAAUGAACCUUCUUCUGGACCUUGGGUCCCUAUUUCUGCAAAAAUAUCCUUCCACCACUCGAUGCCAUCUUGAUCUUGCAGCGGUGUUGCUGGUGAUUUUAUCUUGUUGAUGAUUAUAUUACUAUUAUUGUUGUCAUUGUUGUUAAUGUCGUUGCCGCUAAUUUUAUCAUAUAUUAUUUCCCCAGGCAAAGGAGAGUGCAUGUCACAAUGGGUAUUCAGAUUACAGCAGGGUAUGCUUGCCCCUUUUGAUAAGGUCCGGGGAAGGGGCUUCAAAACUUCAUGAGUACUCGCAUUACUAGUAGUCGCACUGCUUGUUUGUUUCCGAUUAAUG